rnacentral:sRNA from 1 species
GUAUUUUACUUUCUUCCAGAAGGGAAAGACUUGCUCAAGAAUCUAGAUCUAAUUACGAUCAUUUAGAUUCUCUCAUGAAUGAUGCGUCAAACUAUCAGAUACCGCAGGCGACAUCUACCGGCUGGACAGGUGGAUCAGGACAGUCUUCUGCUACCCAGCAACAGCAAGAAGAGACCGUCCAGCACUACUACAGUACUGUAAGCUAAGCCCUGAGUCCUAUGUUGUUCCAUAGGACAUCGUUUCGAAAGCUCUAGACCUAGAGAGAACUUAUGCCGACGUGUGAACUGUUCAACCCUAACAUUUUAAAUCAACCAGUGGAAAAGCUCAUAAGAUAAAACAUAUAUCGAGAGCUUUGUAACUAGGAACUUUUUAUUUCAGUUGCCUGAGUUAGAGUGUAUGUCUAAAGUUAUUUUAUUAGGUUGAAAUAUAUUCUUUAUACUGUAUUUUUACUUUCUUCCAAUCAAUGAAUUGAAUAAUAACAAAAUUGGCCUGCACGCACUUUCAAUGAAUUGUAUUACUAUAAAAUCUUUGACAUUUCAUCCAUUUAUGUAAUUCAGUUUCUACGUAUUUAUGCUAUACUUUGAUCGAUACAUAAAAAAAGAAACAGUAGCAUUAGUUUACAACUCAACAAACAUACAUUAUAAUUCCAUGUGUAAUAUAGAGAGUACAAAGUAAGAAGAAAGGAGGGUAUUAUACAAUAUAAUGCAAAAAUAACAUUGUUUUAUUGUUUAUAAUGCACGAGAUAAAUGCCUAGAUCAGUUAUACGCAAAUCAAGAACCGCAGACAGAAGGUAAUAUACGGCUACAAAUUAUAAUAAUUUACAUAGAAUAAAUGCAUUUUACAAAUGUAUAAUUUAUUUUUUGCGAUGACAAAAAGUUUUUGAACUAAGGACAAACAUUAGAUAAUCCUUCUUUAGGUACUUGCCAACUCUUAAGUGUUUAUUGCUAUUUUUAAAGGAAUUUAAGGGUCAGGGUUAGAGUAGUGCCCAUACGUUUCUUGAAAGUGCGGUAUUAACAUUAUUUUUUUUUAUUUAAGUUUAGAAUAUCUAAGGUUAAAGGGUUUGAAAAGACUAAUUUUUACUUGAAUAUACUUAUAGGAAUUUGAAUAAGCAUAAAGGAAAGAAAGAAUAAUAAACAUAGUCUAAUAUGAAUUAUUCUAAGUAGGAUCCGAUGUAUUUAAAGCAACGAUUACUAAUAUAUGCAAACUUAAGAUGGUCCAUCCAUCUCAGUAUGUCACAAAGUUUUUUUCACAUUUUGUUAUUGCCUCAUGUGUUAUAAUUAUUUUUUCAUAAUGAAUGAAUACAGGUUGUGUUUUUUUUCUUUUAAUUAGCAGCAUAACUGAUUUUGAGUUGUGGUUGAAAUUAAACUUUAAAGUUGAUUUAA